rnacentral:rRNA from 1 species
UUACGGGUGGCAGCAGUGGGGAAUAUUGGACAAUGGGCGAAAGCCUGAUCCAGCCAUGCCGCGUGUGUGAAGAAGGCCUUCGGGUUGUAAAGCACUUUCAGUGGGGAAGAAAGCCUUGGGGCUAAUACCCUCGAGGAAGGACAUCACCCACAGAAGAAGCACCGGCUAACUCCGUGCCAGCAGCCGCGGUAAUACGGAGGGUGCGAGCGUUAAUCGGAAUUACUGGGCGUAAAGCGCGCGUAGGCGGUCUGAUAAGCCGGUUGUGAAAGCCCCGGGCUCAACCUGGGAACGGCAUCCGGAACUGUCAGGCUAGAGUGCAGGAGAGGAAGGUAGAAUUCCCGGUGUAGCGGUGAAAUGCGUAGAGAUCGGGAGGAAUACCAGUGGCGAAGGCGGCCUUCUGGACUGACACUGACGCUGAGGUGCGAAAGCGUGGGUAGCAAACAGGAUUAGAUACCCCGGUAGUC